rnacentral:Y_RNA from 1 species
GGCUGGUCUGAUGGUGGUGGGUUAUCAGAACUUAUUAAAUUAGUGUUGCUAAAGUUGGGAUACAACCCCCCACUGCUAAAUUUGACUGUCUUUUA